rnacentral:rRNA from 1 species
UACGAAGGGGGCUAGCGUUGCUCGGAAUCACUGGGCGUAAAGGGUGCGUAGGCGGGUCUUUAAGUCAGGGGUGAAAUCCUGGAGCUCAACUCCAGAACUGCCUUUGAUACUGAAGAUCUUGAGUUCGGGAGAGGUGAGUGGAACUGCGAGUGUAGAGGUGAAAUUCGUAGAUAUUCGCAAGAACACCAGUGGCGAAGGCGGCUCACUGGCCCGAUACUGACGCUGAGGCACGAAAGCGUGGGGAGCAAACAAG